rnacentral:rRNA from 1 species
AUUGAACGCUGGCGGCAGGCCUAACACAUGCAAGUCGAGCGAGCGGCGGACGGGUGAGUAAUUUAUGGGGAUCUGCCCGAUAGAGGGGGAUAACUCCUGGAAACGCUGGCUAAUACCGCAUACUACCGGCUGCACCCAUAUGGGAUUCGCUCGUAGGUGGGGUAAAGGCUCACCUAGGCGACGAUCUCUAGCUGGUCUGAGAGGAUGAUCAGCCACACUGGGACUGAGACACGGCCAAGAGUCCUACGGGAGGCAGCAGUGGGGAAUAUUGCGCAAUGGGCGCAAGCCUGAUGCAGCCAUGCCGCGUGUAUGAAGAAGGCCUUAGGGUUGUAAAGGACUUUCGGCGGGGAGGCGUUACCCGCAGAAGAAGCACCGGCUAACUCCGUGCCAGCAGCCGCGGUAAUAC